CGAGUUACAGAGACUCACAGUGUCGACAGAGAAAGGCUGGGCACAAGGGAAUGAUCUUCCAAUUAGAUCCUUGUGGUCUGUAUUGUGCAUCAGGACGAAGAUGGCACAAAGCUGGUAACCGUUGAUGAUGGAACGCGCUGUUCAAGAUAUGGUUUCGAUGUCUGUAUUCAAGGCCGUUGCAAGUCGGUCGGCUGCGACCAUGAGCUGGGGUCUGGUGCAAGGUUUGACAGAUGCAGAGUCUGUAACGGAAAUGGUACAUCAUGCACACAUGUGACUGAAUACUUUACAGAACAAUGGAAUAAACUCGGACCAAGAAACGCGCGUCUUCUUGUGGAACUACCAAUGGGAACUUUAAAUGCAAAGUUCAAAGAAAUUUAAAAGACAGCCGAUGCCAUUGGUGUUCAAAAUUCUGCUGGUCGGUACCUAUCAAAGGGAAAUGGUCGCUCACCUCGAAAAGGGAAAAUAUU